CGUCGGUAACAAAUAAAGAUGGGUUUGUAGCUAUCCGUUUCAUUUAUUUACAACGGAAGACCAUGACCAUACGUAUUAUGAUCGCACACCCAUAUAGGAUGAGGAUCCUUUGACAAAGUAAUUAUAAACUAACAACGAGACGACCGUUACUCGUUAGAUAAAUGCAAGAAACGCACUCUCAAAAACACAAAAGACAAGCAUGAACGAUAUCCGCUAGUGUCACUAAUCGAAUCGAAUGAAUAGGGAAAGAGGAAAGCUGCUCAUGCUGUGUCUAACAUAUCUACAAUGCCGAACCACAGAAUACAACACGUGAUCAUACAUCGUUGCCACACACAGUGUGACUCGAGUAACGGAGUCAUGUUCAGAGGAAGAGUUGGUACAACGUAAACUCCAACAUUACUACUUACCAUAGUUAGGUAAACAGCAUAAAAAAAUACACAAACACAGUAACAAAGUUGGAGUUGCCGUAUGAAAAGUUCAACUUGAACCAACUUUUCCGGUACAAACGGACGACGUAAGAUUUAAAAAUUUACUGUCUCCUGAUUGGUUAACGGGCCGGCGGAAACGUACAAACGCACACGGUCCGGAUCGUGACAAACGGAUAGCUAUAAACCCACCUUUAACGUGACCUUAACGUCCUUAACAGUGACAAAUAACAAAUGACUGAUCAAUCGCCGCGAUAAAAUCACAGGUCGUGAAAUCACAACCCAUCUCUAUAGUGGCAGAGAGUUGCGCGCACAGACCAUCAGUCGCACGUUUAUAAUCCGAUUUUAUUUUUAUUAAUCGGUUAGAAGAUGGGACGUUACGCUAAAGAACCAGAAGUGGCUCCAAAAACAUGCAAGGCGAGAGGAUCAAACCUUCGUGUACACUUUAAGGUAGGUUAAUUAGACUACUGUUCGAGCGAGAUAUUGUAAAAUAUGCUUGGUUUAUGUUUUAUAAUUGGAGAUUUAUCGUAAUUAUAAUAAAACCAAACACGAUAUCAUAUGAUUUAUUCUGGUCAACUCACCAGUGGCGUAACAUAGGUACAUAUCUAUAACAUGCCCCUUUUUUUUAACUGAGUAUAAGUAACUUACAACUAUUGAUAAACAAAAUCCUUAAAUCUAAAUGGUUUAAUGUUACGUUUGGGCCUGUCCGAUUCAUUCAUAUUUAACGACUUUUUAGGUGUUAGGACACUGGAAAUUUCAUCGGAUGGAUCAACAUGUAGGGAUCUUUUUGGAGUUAGAACACAGGAUGCUGGCUUUUCCUUAUUCAUUUGAUUUUUUGCUCCUUCGGAAUACAGGAUGUUCGCAUUUCCUUAUGAAUCAGAUUUUCCUCCUUUUCCAAAUCUUGUAUAGAUGUUGCCCUAUCUUUUAAA